rnacentral:rRNA from 1 species
UACGGGGGGGGCAAGCGUUGUUCGGAAUUACUGGGCGUAAAGGGCUCGUAGGUGGCCAACUAAGUCAGACGUGAAAUCCCCUCGGCCUUAACCGGGGAACUGCGUCUGAUACUGGAUGGCUUGAGUUCGGGAGAGGGAUGCGGAAUUCCAGGUGUAGCGGUGAAAUGCGUAGAUAUCUGGAGGAACACCGGUGGCGAAGGCGGCAUCCUGGACCGACACUGACACUGAGGAGCGAAAGC